rnacentral:rRNA from 1 species
UACGUAGGGAGCAAGCGUUGUUCGGAAUUACUGGGCGUAAAGCGCACGCAGGUGGCUGAGUCAGUCGAUUGUGAAAGCCCUGGGCUUAACCUGGGAAUUGCAGUCGAUACUACUCAGCUAGAGUAUGGGAGAGGGUAGUGGAAUUCCCGGUGUAGCGGUGAAAUGCGUAGAUAUCGGGAGGAACAUCAGUGGCGAAGGCGGCUACCUGGCCCAAUACUGACACUCAGGUGCGACAGCGUGGGGAGCAAACAGG